rnacentral:rRNA from 1 species
UACAGAGACUGCAAGCGUUAUUCGGAUUCACUGGGCGUAAAGGGCGCGCAGGCGGCCAAGUGUGUGAGGCGUGAAAGCCCGGGGCUUAACCCCGGAAUUGCACCUCAAACUACAUGGCUAGAGCAUUGGAGAGGGUAGCAGAAUUCACGGUGUAGCAGUGAAAUGCGUAGAUAUCGUGAGGAAUACCAGAGGCGAAGGCGGCUACCUGGACAAUUGCUGACGCUCAGGCACGAAAGCGUGGGGAGCAAAAGGG